UUACAGUCGAAAGAAUGAAGCUGCGUGAUUGACGAUUGGAGGUCGGCGCCGGAGUGCUCGUGCACGCUGGAAAAGCUUGAAGCUAUCCUAAAUGCCAGAAACGAAGCAGCAGCCAAUCUGACUUUUGCUUUCACUCAAUAGAACAAUGUAUUGGAUAAAGACGAAGGGAGCUAAAAAAUUACUAGAACAAACUGGUUGAAAUUGAUGGCGGUGAAGCAGUGGGAGACAAGCAAUCAUUCAACUUCUCGCACAAAUUCAAUUUUCAUAGUUUCACAACCAAAGCUCUGUUAAUUUUCUUCCGUCGAUCUCAACUCUUUUAUCCUUUUUUGAUUGAUAAUUAUGAAAAAGCUCUUGUCAACAAUUUCGACUUUAUUAAUAAAAUAUGUGGGGCUGUAACUUCAAUUAUGUGAUGGAGAACACCAAAUUGAUUUUGGGUAUAUCAAGUAUAAAGCAAAGAACAGUUAAUUAUUA